CCUGCCUCUGCCUCCCAAAUGCUGGGAUUAAAGACGUGCACCACCACCACCCAGCAUGUAGGGCAUUUUCUUAAUUAGUAACCGAUGCAGGAGGGCCCAGAACAUUGUGGGUGGUACCAACCUGGGGCUAGGGGUUAGGAUUGUAUAAGAAAGCAAGCUGAGCAAGCCACAGGGAGCAAGCCAGUAAGCAGCACCCCUCCAUGGCUUCUGCAUCAACUUCCUCCAGAUUCCUGGCUUGUUUGGGUUGCUGUCCUGACUUCCUUUGGUGAUGGACUAUGAUGUGGAAAGAAAGCAUUGAGCAGAUGUCUUCAUACUUCAUCUGAGAAGAGUCUGGGUGGCACCGUGACCUUGUAUCUGUCUUGGCUCCACUAAUCAAUCCUCAGUGGUAAUAAUUAAUACCUGGGCUGUAAAAGCAGUCUGCAUGUUGAGGUGUGAGAAUUAUAAAACCUUGCUGAGAGACUGAAAUGCAAAAAAAGGUUUAUGAUAAUUGGUUGAAUGUCGGCUUGCCACAGAUUAGAGUCGCCGGAGUCUGGAACUGUCCUGGUUGCCUUAUUGGUAUGGGAAGACCCAUCUCUAAAUAUGGGCAUCACUUCCUGGCACAAGGAAGGUCACUGGCCUGGCUUGGCCUUCCGCACAUGCUGGAUGAUAGACCCUACUGCUGUUGCCGAGUCUUCAUGGAUACCAGAACCAGCAGUUCCCGGCUUCUGUCAUCGACUGAGCACCAGCGGCUCUCCAGGAAUCCUGUAGGUGUGCAGGACCAGGUUGGAUCUGCCAAGGCACCUAGCCUCAGGGACCGAGCAUCACUAUUGUAACACUAGCUGAUUGACUAAAUCAUUUAAUUCAUGUAGACAAUCGAUGAACAGAUUCACUGAUUAAUUUGCUUGGUUGAUUCUUUUCUUCUAGAGAGCCCUAAUACAAGGCUUGAAAAAUAACCCCAUGUGUUUUCUUAUAACUUACAAUUAUAGCUGUGGUAUAGUGGUGCAUGCCUGCAGUUUCAGCUUCCUGGACGCAGACAAGAGUAUCUCCAGAAGUUUGGGGUCAGCCUGUGCAACAGUGUGGAACAUAGUUUCAAAAACAAUGACAAAAAUUAUCAUUAAAAUACAUGUGCCUGCUUUGGUUUUUUUUUUUAAAUAAAAGCUCAAAUUUGUCUCUAAUGAGAAAUAAUGAAUUAAAGAGAAUAAUUGUGCAAGGCCUCAAAUAAGCAUGCUAACUGCCAUACUUCCCCAACUUUGAAUGCCCUGAAGUAGUAGGCCUACCAGACAUAGGUGGAAG
rnacentral:lncRNA from 1 species